GUGGCUGAUGAGGUUGCGUUGCUGUGCGAACUUGCCGCCGCACACCUGGCACUCGUAGGGCUUCUCGCCCGAGUGGAUGCGCAUGUGCUCGGUGAGGCGGUACUGGCGCGUGAACCGCAUGCCGCACGCGUCGCACGCGAAGGGCUUGAGGCCCAGGUGGCUGCGCAUGUGGCGCGUCAUGGUCCCACGCUGCGUGAACUUCUUCCCGCAGAUGGUGCACGGGUAGGGCCGGGUCAGCCAGUGCGUCUUCUCGUGCUGCCGCAGCGUGGCCGGGUCCUUGUAGCUCUCUCCUCCUCCACGUGAGCCUCCACGUGCGCGUUCAGCUGCUCAGAGCUGGGGAAGCCCUUGCCGCACGGAAUGCACAAGGUUGUCAUGCACCACCAGGGACUUGAGGUAGGCACUGCUGGCCGCCAGCACGUUCUUGUGCGCGCGGAAGAGGGCGUUCUGCACCACGAUGAUCACGUCGCACAAGAAGCCCUUG
rnacentral:lncRNA from 1 species